rnacentral:rRNA from 1 species
AUUGAACGCUGGCGGCAGGCCUAACACAUGCAAGUCGAACGAGCGGCGGACGGGUGAGUAAUGUCUGGGGAACUGCCUGAUGGAGGGGGAUAACUACUGGAAACGGUAGCUAAUACCGCUUACCAUCAGAUGUACCCAUAUGGGAUUAGCUUGUUGGUGGGGUAACGGCUUACCUAGGCGACGAUCCCUAGCUGGUCUGAGAGGAUGAUCAGCCACCCUGGGACUGAGACCCGGCCCAGACGCCUACGGGAGGCAGCAGUGGGGAAUAUUGCACAAUGGGCGCAAGCCUGAUGCAGCCAUGCCGCGUGUAUGAAGAAGGCCUUCGGGUUGUAAAGUACUUUCAGUCGGGAGGCGUUACCGGCAGAAGAAGCACCGGCUAACUCCGUGCCAGCAGCCGCGGUAAUUC